CAGUAGCGGCGAGCGAAGCGGGAAAAGCCCGGGAUGAAAAUCUCUUCGGAGACUUGUAUUCCGUGUGUCCUUGGGUGGUCAGUGCGGGCAAGUUGUCUGGGAUGACGCGCCAUGGAGGGUGAGAGCCCCGUCCAACCCGCACAGGAUCCAUUCGUACGAGGACACUUCAAACUGAGUCGGGUAGCUUGGGAAUGCUGCUCUAAUUGGUGGUAAAUCUCAUCAAAGGCUAAAUAAAAGUGGGAGACCGAUAGCGAACAAGUACCGUGAGGGAAAGAUGGAAAGUACUUUGAAAAGAGAGUGAAAAGCACUUGAAACCGUCAUGGGGGAAGCGAAUUGCGUUAGUGAUGGAUUGGCCUGUUCAGCUCAAAAUAUUUAUUGAGUGUAUUCUGGCUUUUCCGCGCUUGUGUGGCUGGUGCGAGUACAAGGAGGGUGUGAAUGGGGGAAUUUUUGUUUUUCUGUUCUACAUCAUUUGUCGGUACUUUGCGCUGGUGAGGGCUCCCCGCAAGGGUGAGGACACGAGCGAAAUGACGCAAUACGACCCGUCUUGAAACACGGACCAAGGAGUCUAGCACGGCUGCGAGUCGAAGGGUAAUUUUUUUAUGAAAAACCUAGAGGGCGCAGUGAAAGCAACUAUGUUGGAGCAAUCUAACGACAAAGCAAAUUGGGGAGGCGUUGCGGUUUUACCAACAUGUCCUACCUUGAGCAUCUGUGCUGGGACCCGAAAGAUGGUGAACUAUGCCGGAGUAGGGCAAAGCCAGAGGAAACUCUGGUGGAGGCUCGUAGCGAUGCUGACGUGCAAAUCGCUCGUCGAACUUGGGUAUAGGGGCGAAAGACUAAUCGAACCAUCUAGUAGCUGGUUCCCUCCGAAGUUUCUCUCAGGAUAGCGGGCCGACACAUUUUUUUUUAAAAGUUGUUUUGUGCGGUAAAGCGAAUGAUUAGUGCAUUUGGGGGCCGAAGGCCUUCAGGCGAUUCUCAAACUUUAAAUGCGCAAGGGGGCGGCUGCUUAAUUUGAGCCUGCUCUUCGAAAAACGUCGGCUCCGUGGGCCACUUUUGGUAAGCAGAACUGGCGAUAAGGGAUGAACCUUAAGCGCGGUUAAGGCGCCGCAUUGCCCGCUUAUAGACCCCACAAAAGGUGUUGAUUCAUAUAGACAGCAGGACGGUGGCCAUGGAAGUCGGAAUCCGCUAAGGAGUGUGUAACAACUCACCUGCCGAAUGAAUUAGCCCUGAAAAUGGAUGGCGCUGAAGCGGGCAGCCGACACCGCGCCGUUCAGGCGAGACAACAUGUCUGAAUGAGUAGGAGGGCGUGGCGGUCCGUGACGCAGGCGAGGGUGCAAACCCCGCUGAAACGGCCGCUAGUGCAGAUCUUGGUGGUAGUAGCAAAUAUUCAAGCGAGAUCCUUGAAGGGCGAAGCGGGGAAGGGUUCCAUGCGAACAUUGAUUGGGCGUGGGUGAGUC
rnacentral:rRNA from 1 species